rnacentral:lncRNA from 1 species
GAUCUUGUCCGCAGCGACGCCGCCGCCGGAGAACGACGACGGGAGGCGGCGGCCGUCCGUCGCCUACCGCCGCAUGCGGGCUACGCAGCUGCACCCGUCAUCGAGCACGCGGCCCGCCGCCGUUUGACCUCAGCGACGACGCGUCCGUCGACGGGGGACUGAUCUCCGGUGAAGCUCCGUCCCCAUGGCGAAGAUAAGGAGGGGAGCCAAGGGGCGUCGUUGACCUUAGCCCGAGUCGUUGUUGGGCCGAUUUAUGGAAUGACCCAACGAUAGAAGCCUUCGUCAGGCGUGGGCCGAGUAGAGGGCAGAGACGAAGUGGGCCGUUGGGCCUCCAUUUAGGCUUCUGGAGAUUUCAUCUCGGUCAAGUGGGUCGUCAUAAGAAAAGGGCGAACAUGGGUUGACUUAGCCGGCCCAGGCCCAUUAUAACGCCCCCACUUCUCUCUCUCUCCCCUCGCUUGGUUGUGUCGAGUCUCGCCAUUAAAAGUGUCCG